GGAGGUUAGUGCAAUGGCAUAAGCCAGCUUGACUGCGAGCGUGACGGCGCGAGCAGGUGCGAAAGCAGGUCAUAGUGAUCCGGUGGUUCUGAAUGGAAGGGCCAUCGCUCAACGGAUAAAAGGUACUCCGGGGAUAACAGGCUGAUACCGCCCAAGAGUUCAUAUCGACGGCGGUGUUUGGCACCUCGAUGUCGGCUCAUCACAUCCUGGGGCUGAAGUAGGUCCCAAGGGUAUGGCUGUUCGCCAUUUAAAGUGGUACGCGAGCUGGGUUUAGAACGUCGUGAGACAGUUCGGUCCCUAUCUGCCGUGGGCGCUGGAGAACUGAGGGGGGCUGCUCCUAGUACGAGAGGACCGGAGUGGACGCAUCACUGGUGUUCGGGUUGUCAUGCCAAUGGCACUGCCCGGUAGCUAAAUGCGGAAGAGAUAAGUGCUGAAAGCAUCUAAGCACGAAACUUGCCCCGAGAUGAGUUCUCCCUGACUCCUUGAGAGUCCUGAAGGAACGUUGAAGACGACGACGUUGAUAGGCCGGGUGUGUAAGCGCAGCGAUGCGUUGAGCUAACCGGUACUAAUGAACCGUGAGGCUUAACCUUACAACGCCGAAGGUGUUU
rnacentral:rRNA from 1 species